rnacentral:rRNA from 1 species
GACGUAGGGCGCGAGCGUUGUCCGGAAUUAUUGGGCGUAAAGAGCUCGUAGGCGGUCUGUCGCGUCUGCUGUGAAAACUCAGGGCUUAACCCUGAGCUUGCAGUGGGUACGGGCAGACUAGAGUGCGGUAGGGGAGACUGGAAUUCCUGGUGUAGCGGUGAAAUGCGCAGAUAUCAGGAGGAACACCGGUGGCGAAGGCGGGUCUCUGGGCCGAUACUGACGCUGAGGCGCGAAAGCGUGGGGAGCAAACAGG